AGUGAACGCUGGCGGUAGGCCUAACACAUGCAAGUCGAACGGCAGCACAGUAAGAGCUUGCUCUUACGGGUGGCGAGUGGCGGACGGGUGAGGAAUACAUCGGAAUCUACUUUUUCGUGGGGGAUAACGUAGGGAAACUUACGCUAAUACCGCAUACGACCUACGGGUGAAAGCAGGGGAUCUUCGGACCUUGCGCGAUUGAAUGAGCCGAUGUCGGAUUAGCUAGUUGGCGGGGUAAAGGCCCACCAAGGCGACGAUCCGUAGCUGGUCUGAGAGGAUGAUCAGCCACACUGGAACUGAGACACGGUCCGGACUCCUACGGGGGGCAGCAGUGGGGAAUAUUGGACAAUGGACGCAAGCCUGAUCCAGCCAUGCCGCGUGGGUGAAGAAGGCCUUCGGGUUGUAAAGCCCUUUUGUUGGGAAAGAAAAGCAGCAGGUUAAUACCCCGCUGUUCUGACGGUACCCAAAGAAUAAGCACCGGCUAACUUCGUG
rnacentral:rRNA from 1 species